rnacentral:rRNA from 1 species
GAUGAACGCUGGCGGCGUGCCUAAUACAUGCAAGUCGAGCGAACAGAUGAGGAGCUUGCUCCUCUGACGUUAGCGGCGGACGGGUGAGUAACACGUGGAUAACCUACCUAUAAGACUGGGAUAACUUCGGGAAACCGGAGCUAAUACCGGAUAAUAUAUUGAACCGCAUGGUUCAAUAGUGAAAGACGGUUUUGCUGUCACUUAUAGAUGGAUCCGCGCCGCAUUAGCUAGUUGGUAAGGUAACGGCUUACCAAGGCAACGAUGCGUAGCCGACCUGAGAGGGUGAUCGGCCACACUGGAACUGAGACACGGUCCAGACUCCUACGGGAGGCAGCAGUAGGGAAUCUUCCGCAAUGGGCGAAAGCCUGACGGAGCAACGCCGCGUGAGUGAUGAAGGUCUUCGGAUCGUAAAACUCUGUUAUUAGGGAAGAACAAAUGUGUAAGUAACUAUGCACGUCUUGACGGUACCUAAUCAGAAAGCCACGGCUAAUUACAUG